rnacentral:lncRNA from 1 species
GCGGCGCGACCAGCUAGCACUAUCGUCGUCAUGCUCGUGUCCUCGUCGCUCGUUCGGUGCGUCGUGCACGCAACAUGUCGUCGUACCUCGCCUCGUCUCGCCGUCGUCGCGAGGUAAGCCUCGCCUACCCCUUGCGCGUAAUUCAGAUGAGGUUCGCCCGACGACACGCAAAAUGCUAAUUACACGUUUUAAACAAAGUCAUUUCGUCAUGUCGUUUAGGCUAAAUAAUUAGUUAAUGGUGUGGUUAUCGGUUGUUAAAAAACAUGAGGUUCAAUCGAAUCUAGUUUAUAAUUUUAAUUAUGCGAUUAUAAAUACUUGGCAAUGUGAUUUUAACCACUUAGAUGUUGUAUUUAAUAUCUAUUUAGUGUUUGGUAUAAAAACAACAUUUAGUUAGUGAGUCUUGCAUGUGGUGGUGCGCGUCGCUCGUGCUGUUUGGCUCGUGCUAAUUCACAUGCUGUCCAUGUGUGUCGUCAUUCACACGAGUCGUUAUUCACGCACUUUAAUAAAAUUAUUUCGUCACAUCGUUCAUGUUAAAUAAUUAAUUACUUAUUUAGUGUCGGUUAUUUAAAAUAAUAGUUCAAUCAAACCAAAUUUAUAAUUUUAAUUACACGCUCGCAAAUACCUGUUAUUGCGAUUAUGCCAACUUAAAUGUAUAUCUAAUAUUGGUUUAAUAAAAAAACGAUACAAUUUAGUAGUAUUCGUAGACCAUGUCAUUUAUUAGCCGUGAUGUGCUAAUUAUUCAAUACGUUAUGUGUCGCAAUCCUGUUUUGACUCGUUUCGGACGUGUCAACUCCAUACCAGUGUUAAUUUCAUUUUACUAAUAUUAUUUUGUCACGACGUAAGUUUUAAUCAAAUAGUUAAUUAUUUGUUGUACAAUAUUUAUUAGAAUAACAAUUUGAAUAAAACUAAUUUCUAGUUUUUAUUCGCGCUUUUAUAGAUACAUAUUAAUAUGAUUACGUCUGCUCGAAUAUUUUUGAAUUAAUACUUGUUAGUAUAGACGUAUUGCAGCGUGUGUCGUCUCUUGUCGAUCAUGUGUGUCUCACGCGCUGUCCGCACGUUAUUUAAUUAUUUCUGUUAUUGUCGUUUGCGCUAAUUAGUCAAUUAUUGUUUAGUCGUUGGUUAUUUAAAAUAACAAUUCAAUUAGAACGAGUCUGUUUUAACACACGAUUUUAUAAAUAUAAAUGAUAAUUAACUUGAGUGAUACCAGUAUAAAUACUCUUACUUAAUUAUUUGUUUACUGUUGUUAGCACGUGGCAUCGUUCGCGCGUCAUCGUGUUGUUCGCGCGCAUAGUCGCGUUGACUCAGGUGUGACGAGCACUGUCAUGCGCGUUGUUUCGUGUGUCCGUAUGUUGUUCGGCAUGCUGUCGUGCAUCAUCACAUGUCAUCCACGUGUGUUGCGCGCGCCGUUUUCACGUGUCAUGUGCUAUCUGUGCGCUAGGUCGCGUGCGGGCGUGCUGUUUCACGCGUUACGUAUUUCGUCUCGCUCCGCUAAUUCGUCCCGCUUAGAGUUGCUGAUAUUAUUUAAAUUACUUAUUUAACUAAGAAUUACUAGUGUGGUCAGCUAAUUAAAAUUGUGUGAUAGCUAUAGUUUCAUUUUAAAUAAAUAUCGAUUAAUAUAAGCAGAUCAAACUAAAUGUUAUGACUAAUACUCGUUUAUUGUAGACGCGAUAACUUCUCGAUCGUAGCUUCGUCUGUCGCGUUUCUUUUUCCUUGCGUGAUCGUAGUAACACGCUCUAUUUCAUUUUGCAUAUUUUAUUAUGUUUCUAUUUGAAUGGUGUAAUGUUCUUAUGUAUAUAUGUUUGUUUGUUUGUGCCUGUUUGUAUUCGAUGUGCGUCGCGAAUAGAUUGCGAUCCGGUUCCAAGCUUCGAGGGAUCGAGGAUCAAGCGUUGGCGACCAAGUGAUAUAGCUUUACGAGUUCUACGAUACUAAAGACCCUGAGCAUCUGUUUGGUGAAGGCAAGUGUCCUCUGACCCAUUAUGUCCCAUUUACUUUAUAAUACACUGUCCCGCAUACUAUGAACAACCUAAGGAUUUACUAGCUUUCUAUUUACAUUGUCCUUGAUUUACCUUUUGGGUUACUAUGGUUAGCUACCUGCUAGCGCUUUACUUUAAUCAAUGAACAUGAUGAGAUACAAUGAUGAUACUAUGAUUUUAUUCUGGAUAUGAUGAUAUACUGGUGGCAUUUAGGGGACUCGGGCUGUUUCCCGAGUACCUCUCCGUAAGGACCUGUUCGUUGAGAGACCACCCGGGAUAACAGUGCAACCAUGAGGGUGAAAUGGGAUGCCCUUAGCUAACUAAUUAGAGGAACUAGAGGUGUAGUUGCUUCGCCGUCGUGCCGUCAAUGGGGUCCAGGCACAGUGCUUGCUCUGCCGAGGCUGGGUGCCGAGGUCCUUUCGUUUUGCUUUUGUUAGUCACCUUCCUGCGGGGAGGAGUACUGUGUUUAUCAAACUGGAGAAACCUAACGGGCGGCUAUGACCUCUAGGGAAUCUUUGUAAAAGCUACGUAGUGAUACCCUGCCGGACCACCUAGGAAGUGAUCAAUGGGGAGUCAUGAUCCCCGGGCAAAACGGGAAUCACGGCUCAUGGGUAAAGUGUGCGACCUCUGCAGAGGGUAAUGAAACUGAUAUAUCAGCCGUGCUCACGGUUAAGAGCGGCCUUGGGAUCCUCCUUGAUUAGAGAUACAUAUGAUCUAAGAUACAAUGGUUAUAUUUAUGUUUUGGUUCGAUGAUGAUAAUGAUGUUCCUCGAUGAGGAAAUGAUUCACAGGUUGGUUACAUGAUAAAACUUGGCUUCCACUAAUAAUAAAUACCUGACCAACUAAAAGCAACUGCUUGAGCUAAACCCCACAUAAAGCUAGUCCACCUCAGCCAAACGGGACAUUUGCUGAGUACGUUGAUGUGUACUCACCCUUGCUUUCACAAAACACCAGGUUGCCUUUGGUGCAAUCUAUGCUCAGGUAAAGAAGAAGGAGUCGAGGCGGAUCUCUAGGAGUUCCAGGACUUCGACGAGUUCGAGGAUUAGGCUAGCGACCUCCCCCAGUCAGCUGCCUGUGGUGGGUUUGUUUACGUUGGCUACGUUUCUAUUCUGUGUACUUUGAUUUGUGCUAUGUAAAUGACUCUAGUCUUUAAUAUUAUUACUCAUUCUAUAUUGUUAUUCGAAGCAUUGUGCUAUGAUGAGUCAUUUAUGUAAUCGCUGUGUACGUGAAUUUCUGAUCCUGGCACGUACAUGGUUCGCAUUCGGUUUACCUUCUAAAACCGGGUGUGACAUAAGUGGUAUCAAAGCCGUGCUGACUGUAGGACCGCUGACCUAGAGUAGCGUUGGCCGUUUUAAGGACUUAUUGACUAUUACUUCACCCCAUCCUUGGUUCUGCUUCAAAAUAUUAGUCACCUCGACUAAUUCUAUGUUGUGCUCCUAUAUGCCCCCUUGACAAAAGUAUUUUAUUCUAGUAUGGUUUAUACUUCUCUCAAUCUAUUAGAUCCGAUCUCACUCUUGUGCUUGCGAUAUCUUUGUAGAUGCCCCUUACCAUGACCUUCUAGUCUCUUGGGAUUCUUUCCUCUUCCAUCAUUAAGUUGCUGCCAUUUGACAAUCAUUAUUCCCUUGGUAUUGACAUGCUUUUGAUUCUUCCAUACCCUUAUUCCUUAAUUCAAACACUUAACCCUAAAAACUCUAUUGCCUAGUUAAACAUUUCAGUUUAUAUGUCCAUGACCUUCCUGUCUUUUGAGAACCUUUCCUAUUCUAUUGUUAAGUCGCUAUCUUUUGGCAAUUUGUACUCUCUUCGUCUUGGUAUGCUCGUACCAUUGGAAUCUUGCAUACUAAUAUUUUUAUAUAUGCUUACCUUCAUAUCCCAAUGAUUGUUCAAAAAAUUUCGGUUAAUAUGCCCUUGAUCAUCCUUGCUUCUUGAUGGUCCAUGAGCGACCCUUCUAUUUCGCACAUCCUUGACGAUCUCACCGUUUCCUCAUAACUUCCCUCGAUAAUAAUUUUUGUUACUUCAACCAUUCUGUUGGGACCUUACCUAUCUCACCCUUGAUUGUCUUAUCCACUUCGCCACUUCGAGAGUCUUGCCUUAACUCUAUCCUGGGUUAUGAUUUCACGAUCAUCAUCUUUACCCUUGUCGCCUCUAUAUCUUACCUUGAUGCUUAUAUUAUACCCGUCCUUUAAAAACCUUCUCUCUGCCAUCUCAAUUUUAUAGUUGUAGUUUACCUAUUUUCCCUUGGUCGUAUUCUCUUCCUUAUCGCUUGCGAGUUUUUAACUCCAUCCCUUGUCGUGCUCCAGUUGGGUAUUACCUUUACCUUUCUCAUCCCUCGAUCUUACCUUUAACUACACUAUGUCCGUUCUCUAAAAUCUUCAAUCUCAUAUCUCAAUGUGAGAGCGAUGUUUUACUUAUCUUAUCCUUGGCAAUAUCCUCUUCUUUUCCGCGUGUAAGCCUUGACAUACCUCCAUUCUUUAUUGUGCUUAUACCACUCGCUCUUCUAAGUCUUCAUCUUUUCUCCUAUACUCUUGUCUGUUAUCGCCUUUGGCCCUUGCGAUAUUUAUGUCUUCUACCUAAAUGCUUACCUUGAACUUAUCCUUUAAAGCCUCUCCUUUAUUUUGAGAAAGUUUGAGGGUUGUGAUUUACCUAUCUCUCCCUUGAAUUCUUGUCACUUCGUGUCGCCUUACAAGUUUUGUGUUAAUUCCAUCCUUUGUUGUGUUUUAUUUGCUAUCACCAUCACCUUGUCAUCCAUCGAUCUUGCCUUAUACUCAUCUGUAUUCCCACUCUAAAAAAAUCUCCUCUCUUCCACCUCAAUUUGAGAGUGGCAGAUUACCUUUCUGGCCCAAGGACGUACCCUCUCCUUUUCCAUUUGCAGGUCUUGUCUUAACUCCAUCCUUUGUGGUAUUUAUAUUCUUGGUUCUUAUGCACAUUUACCUCCUCUCUUACAUCCUUGUCCGUUAUCACCUUUAAACCCUCAUGAUACCUAUGCCCUUGCCACAUGCCUACUUUUAACCUACCCUUUAAAGCCACCUCUCUUUCAUCGCUGUUUGAGAAUAAUACCUCACCUACUUCACCAUUGAUUGCUUCCCCUUCUUUGAUGCCUCUCAAGUUUUGUCUAAAAUAUAUCCUUGGUUGGAUUCUCUCCCUUGGCGGUUACAAUCAUUACUUUAGCUCCAUCCUUUAUUAUGCUCAUGCCCCUAUCCUCCAUGUCUUAUUAUUUCUCCUUGCCUUUUGUUGGCCUUAGAGUAGUUUCCUUUUUUAAGGAAAGACCACCAUUUAAUUAAAAGGAACAUAUAACAUCGAGAUGUUGGUGGUUGUAUGCUUGUGAUGUUUGUCUUUGUGUGAUGACCGAUUUGCUUCUUUGUGAUGAGUGUUGUUGUGUUGUGGCCUUUGGUCCGCAAUGACAUCAGUUUACUAGUUGGGUGCUCUCCCUUUUCUCUCUUUAAUCCAUUUAUGCUUACCUUUUCUAUCUUACCUUUUCUAUCUAUACUCUUUCCUCUUGCACCUGUCCAGUUUGCAACCUCCAACCUCUCUCAAUCAAUCAAGACCAGAGUCGACAGCAUCUUUAUCAAGUGCGUAUCAACGCUUCUGUUAAGGGGGUUAGUCGCUAACCCCAAUGAAGACAAUGUGAAUAACAUCAGCCAACAAGAUCAGAGUGGUGUAGCGAAAGCGUGUGUGGGUCCUAACCCACAGGUCCAAGGGAUCCUCAAGAAUUGUAUCGAUUGGUCUCAAGCGCCUGAAGGUCAAAGCAUCCAGUCCGCAAGCUAAGCUUGCAAAGUCAAAGUCAACUCAAGAAAGCCGUGAACAACGGAUGAACCAACCUUGUUUCUCUUGCUAGCUUCUUGAAUCUCGAGGGCGAGAUUCUGUUAAGGGGGUUAGAUUUGUAACACCCUGAAUUUGGGGGUAUAAAAUUUCUUUCCUAAUAUCCACCAAAUUCAGGUGUUACCCUCUUCUUCCUUUGCCUUUCUUUAUCUUUUCAAAGCAGUGAAGGAAUAUUUUGCUUUUAUGUAAGUAUUAGAUGUAUUAAUGAAACUCUAAAAGGGUUUUUUUGAUAGUUGCAUCACAUGCUGGAGCAUUAAUUUUGUUUGUUGUUGAUUGAGUUAAAAGAGUGUUACUAUUUAAUUUAUUCUCUUUUUGUGAAGCCCAACUUAAUUAAUAAUAGAAAUUUACCUAAAAAUAUCUAUUGAAUAUUUUAUUUGAAAAUAUUAUUAUUUCAAAUUAUUAUAUUUUUUCAUAUUUAGAAAGACAUAUUUAUUCAUAUAUUUCGAAUAACUUAUGUGAAAAAAAGAAAAGAAAAGGGAAUUUCGAAAUAAAUAAAUAAAAGAAGAAAAAAAAGAAAUCUAAAAAAACAACCGUCCGGGGGCAAGUCCACCCCACGUGCGCGCAUGUAGGCAUGCAGCGGCUAGCGCCCACGCACGCUAACGCCCAGCCGCUCCCACGAUCUCUCCUCGCGCCCGCGCGUCAGGUGCAUGCAGGAGCCCAAGCGCGUCAUCUCUCCCACGAAAAGAAAACUACCUAGCCGUCCAUCUCUCUCUCUGUGAUACCCGGUUUGCAAAGAAGAGAAGUUGAAGGUUAUUCUUUUUGUUUGUUUUUUCUCUUAUUCGGGUGUCGCGCUUUGGGGAUUUAGAAUUUGUGGAAAUCAUUCACCAGUAUAGCAGUAGAGUGGUUGGUCGGGAGCUGUCGUGCAAGCGAGUUGGGCCGCGAAUCGCAAUCCGGCCCACUAACCCUCCCCCUAACCCUAGCCGCCCCCCUUUUUCCCCCUUGGGUUGUUGCAGCCGCCCCUUCCCCUCCCCUUUCUCUUGGACGCCCCCCCUCUCCCAUCUUCUUCCUCCUCAAACCUUUGCAGCCCUCACCACCCAAAACCCUAGCCGCCCCCCCCCCCCCCCAUUUCUCCCCCUCCUCCAAGGUGCAGCCCUCCCGUGUGGUUCUCCGUCGUGUGGCUGCGAUCUCAAUUGGAGUUUGGAGGGAGGAAGAAGGAAGGAGGAAGGGAAGAACCUAAGGUGAAUUUGUGAUUAACUUUUGUUGUUUUUGUGCUGCAAUCAAUUGGAUUAUGUGUUUAUCUUUGCGAAUCGGUAGAGGUGCUGUCCAGGAAUUUUGUGAGUGGGUGAACAGCAGUAGUUCUAGGGAUUUCUGGGAAUUUUCGUGGGGUAAUUAGUGGGAAUCAGUGGGAUAAUCAUGUAGAGCUUUGUCAUACCUUUCCAACGAGUACUUAUGCGCUCGAUUCGGAGUUAUAAUUUAGGAGAUAUCGUUGUUUGAAUCCGGGUAUAUUGCUGUCCAAAAAAACAGAUUUUUCAGGUGGGUGAACAGCAGUAGUAUUAGCAGUUUCUGGGAAUUUUUCGUGGGUAAUUAGUAUUAACCAGUAUUAUAAUCAUGUAGGGCUUUGUCUUAUCUUUCCAAUGAGUACUUAUGUGCUUGAUUUGGAAUUAUAUUUUAAAAGAUAUCGCUGUUUGAAUCCGGGUAUGUUGCUGUAAAAAAAACAGAUUUUUCAGGUGGGUGAACAGCAGUAGUAUUAGCAAUUUCUGGGAAUUUUUCGUGGUUAAUUAGUGCUAACCAGUAUGAUAAUCAUGUAUGGCUUUGUCUUAUCUUUCCAAUGAGUACUUAUGCGCUUGAAUUGGAAUUAUAUUUUAAAAGUUAUCGCUGUUUGAAUCCGGGUAUGUCGCUGUCCAAAAGAGAAAAAAACAGAUUACAGGGUUCAUCUUGUGAACUGUUUUGGGCUAAUUAGAUGUUGGAGUUUAAUUAUAAAUUGUAUACAAAACUUGUGGGGAAUUUUAUGUAGAUGCCUCUGGAGUUUUUGUUUGUUACCAAUGCUGUCAUAAUUUUGAAGUUAUGAAAUUAUUAAGCAGCGCCGCUGCAGUUUGGUGGGUGUGGGGAGAGAUGUAACCCGCGGCGGGGUUUGAGUUUGUGCGUAGGUGCGGCGUCGUUUAUGAGCCUGGUUAUGUGAAAUUGGUGCACUAAGUUGUGUGUCAAAAACAGGUGGUGGACUUCCGGAUCGUACUUAGGGAUUUGCCCAAACUUCCGGUAAAGGCAAGUAAAUACAGUGGUGGUUGCUACCGUUUGGUUUGCAUCCUAUUCCCUGUCAUUGAGUAUGCAUAAGUUUUAAAUAUGUUAAUCAUUGAAUUCUAUGAUGAAGUUUAUUUGUUCGAAAGUAUUAAUUCUCAAUUGUCUAAUAUUGUGGAUGAUCAUGAUUUGGUAAUGAUAUAUGUGGUUGAUUCCUAUCAUGGAUGGAGUUGAAGUAUUUUUAUUUGAAUCACGUUAUAUGAAGUGUUGUAGGCAUGUCAUGCACAUUGCAUCAUCCAUCUUGCAUUCUGAAGUUAUGUCGUGAUCUUAUGGUCCGACUGUACCGGUACAUUUUUAGCAUCGUACGUUGUCCGAGGAGGGGUACGAUGCGGCUUCAUAUCCUUAGAGGUAUGAAGGCAGAAGUCAUCCUUGCAUUUGCAGACAUUUGCACUCAUGAGGUAUAUAUAUGAAGAGUGACAUUACUAUGUUACUAUUGUGGUUUCUACCUGCGAGGUGUGGUAGCUAGGAGUGUUGUACGUUGUAUACGUGCUGCACCUUUGUAAUAAGAAGGUUGUGAAAUCAAGUGGUGGUAAAACAAUAUUCUUAUGUGGUUAAACAGUUUGAUAUUAUUUUACUUGCUGAGAUGUGUCAUCUCACUCUUGCAUUACUCAAUGCAGGUACUUGAUAUAUGUUGGGAAUGAGGGGAGUAGCAGCACGUCCACUUUCACUCUCAUAAUAGCGCUGCCCAGGCGUAGCCAUGAUUUAAUUAGAAACUUGUUGUCAAAAGAAGUUAUUUUUUUUUGCUAGUCGUGCGCACUGGUUAAUUCAGUUCAUGUCGUAUGUUUAACUUCCCUUUGCUAGCCGAUUAAUAAUACUUGGUAUGUUUUUGUCAUGAUAUAUGUUUAUACAUUGUUGUCCCCCCCCCUCAUUUAUGCAAUUUUGCAAAGGAGAUGCUGCCAAAAUUUUAUAUAGAUGUCAGAAGUGUAGUUCAGUAGCAUUCCGGGGUGUUUGUGGAUCCCGGGGUGUUACAGUUGGUAUCAGAGGAUAGGCUUUAGAUUCUACGCAAUUUGAAGAUAAAUUUGACACACUUGCACAUAUAGGAAGGGUAUGGGUUCGUAAAUCUUUCAUAUUAGUAUUUUAUUGUAUAGAUGACUAGAACUUCCUUACUCCAAAUUCCUUUAUGGUUUGAUGGGGUACGUCAUUAAUGACGUAAUGCUUGAUAUGAUAUGUUAUUUCUAUUUAAUAUUGGUUUCUUGAUGUGGUUGUUAUUGAAGAUAUUAUGCAAGUGAAGCUACUACUGUACUUGUUUUAUAUACAUAUUGUCAUGAUGUUUUUUUUGAUGCAAUGUUUUCAAAUCUCUGAGCUAUUACUAUCAUAUAUUUCUAUAUGCUUGACUGUGGAUGUUUUUUUCCAAAAGGAUUCUUGGGUUCUAGUACUUGUAGGACCGAUUGUUUAUUGAGCUUGUCUAUAGUGGGUCUAAUCCGACUUGGUGUAGUGUGAAAACACUAUAUAAUGUAGUUUUAUGGUGUUGUUGAGUUUGAUUGACUGUUGGGUUACAACCCAACUUAUCAAUGUAAUAUUUCCAUGGGUGCAAUGCUUUGCGCCUCACUUUUUUGGCUAGUGUGGCUACUUGCUAACUUGAUCUUAGUAUAAAAUUGGUUUGUCUCUAUAGAGCAAAGGCAACAUUGUAAUGUCUAUGAAAUCUUGAGACUGGUAGAACUCAAGUGAAUUUGUAAGAUGACGUAGAUUGAUAAGUCCAACCAUGUUUACCUGAUAGGUUUUCUUAUUAUGUGCAACCUUAUUUUUUUUAACAAUAAAUAGGGUGGUUUCAAGUGGAUUUUAUGUCGUGCAUGUUUUCCUUCUAUGGUUUGUUUCAAUAGCCAUAAAGGCUAUGCAUAAUUUUUAGUUGUUGCAGGCUAGUCAUGUGGACGAUAUUGACAACCCAUUUUAUUUUUUUUUAUUUGCCAACAUUGUAUGGUAGUUUGAUUUUUUUUAUGAUCAGUUUCUCUAUGCAUGCUUGUUGAAUCAUUAUUUGGACCGCUUUAUCUUAAACGAAGUCAAUGCUUAACUGGGAGUUGCUUAUGUUUGUUAGUCAUCUAUCUCUUUAAUGAUGGGGUUGUUGCAUCGGAUUGAGAUUUUUCUUAUAUGAAUGAUGGUUUGAUAGAUCAUGUAUGUCUACUACUUUGAAUGCAUCCUGUGAUAUCACGAGGUACAAAUUGUUCAAGUGCAGUAAUAGUAGGUUUUGUUGUAUGUGAGGUUAAUCAAGGUAGUUUGGUUAUGUGGAUUGUCUUAUUGACAUCCAAUUACUCCUGAUGAGCAUAGUAUCGUGUUGCUAUUUUAGUAUUGAAAGUAAUAUUUAUGAAGCUUUUGCAUGAGUCUGUGUCAAGAAGUACAUUAGUUUUUCUUGUUGUUAUCCCUCCAUUGCUUUAUGAGUAUUGCAAAUUUUAUCUCUUUUGAGAGGAGGAAAAGACGUUACAUGACAUGAGCACCAUUUGCUUCACGUCAACAGAAUAGUUGUGGAGAGCUCUAAUAGUUGGAUUCUAGUGUAAUAACAACCAUGUCUUAUAGUGCUAGAGACGGGUAUGUCAGGUGUUUCAUACAUUGUCGAUACAUGGAUGUUUGACCUUAGUGGCAUUAACAAACGAGGUUGUUUAAUUCGUUGAUUGUUGUGCUUAGUGUUCUAACCUAUUAGGUAAAGUGUUGCUUAAAGGCUUUGGGGAGUUGCAUCCCCAUUUGGUAGUGGAAAAUCCUAGUGUUGAUCGCACCUUCCAAUGCCUUGGGUUUUAUUUUAUAUUGUUUUUUUAUUAUGAGUAAGGUGUUGUUUGGUUUUGGGAGUCAUUUUAAAUUAGUUGGAGGCUGAAUCAGGCUUCACUUAUCUAGAAUGUUUUGUAGUAGGCUUCUUCAUCUUUGCAUAGAUGCUCAAUCACCCAGUUUGGUCUAAACAUUGGAGAGUUAUGGGUUUCCUAUAGCAGCCUUAAUUUUGUACGGAAGUAGAGACAUUGAAGACGGUAAAUUUUGGUUUUUGUUGGAUUAUGAAAGUUUUAGUAAUUUCAUGAUCUUUCCAAAGAUUAUUGGUUUGUAAUUUUCAUUGCAUAUAAUUGGAGUUAGGCUACUCUGAAGUUGUUUCACCGUUGUGUCUGAACUUUAGGUGUCGUUAAAACCACCAAUAAAUCGACCGUGUUCUGAUAGUUUCAGAGCCCAAAUUUGGGAAUUCUCUUUAAGAAAAACUUUUAGUUUUUCUAAGUACCUUUUAAUGGGUAUUUACUUGUAACUGCCUAUUAAAUAGAUUGGGAGAGGUGGUUGUCCGGAUAUAAGUCGAAUCUCUGAUGUGCAGUAUCUCAGGUUGAGUUUAGCUGUAGGUCAUGCAGAGUUGAGGGUUAUAAAGAUAAAUUUGGGUGCAACUUUAUUGCAAAAGUCGUGGACAAUUUCCAAACUUUUCCAACGCAUGUUCGUUGUAGUUUUAAGUUGAGUAUAGCAGGAGUUAUAGGAUUUUGAAUUUUAGUUGUCCAAUAUUUCUAUCCUAUCAGUUUUGCAACAAAGCAGUUGCAUUGUUUUAUCGGUUUGGAAACCAAUUCUGAGACACUCAUUAUAAUAAAAGUUUUAGGGAAUGUUAUAACCUUUCCAAUGAGUUUGUAUUUGCAAAAUUUUGUUAGAUGCAGAUUGGGUGAGUUAUUGGAUGGAUAUAUAUGCAUAGUAUAAUUAAAAAAAGUGUUCUUCGAUGGAAUGAUAUAAUGUAUAGAAUAUGCUUGGAUGGAUAUAUGGGCAGGCGUAGUAUGCUUAAAUCGAUUCUUGCUUCCAUGAUGUGAGAUAAGGCUUAAAAUGAUUUAAAAUGUUAGCAUAUGGCUUCUAUCUUUAUGUUGGCUCUGAGUGUCUCGUAAUGAAGAACCUAAAGUUAUUAGUCCUUCGAUGAACGCUUAAUCUUAGAAGAGUAUAGAACCUGAAUAAAUCUAUUGCUUGCUGUUUGGGACUACAUGACCAAUUUUGGUUAUGCAGCUAGUUCAACGAAUUAAACCAUGUUUUCUGUAGAGGUGUUGUAUAUAAAAGUUGUAGCCAACUUCUUCAUCUUACUUGUGUAAAAUUUCAUGACCAUAGGUCUAGUAGUUUGGGAGUUAUGAUUUUCUCAAGUCCAGUCUUGGAAUCUGUCCAGAUUCUGUACAGAUUUUGAAACAGACCUUGUUUGCCCAAGUUAAACUUUGAAUCAGUUCUUAUAAAUUAUAAAGAAGUGGAGUACUUUCCUUAAGAUUUCCAACAAAUAUUGGAUCACCCUUUUUGGUGACCUAUAAGUUAAGCUACAGCUGUUUUAAGUGGAAUCUUUGAAUCUGUCCAAAUUUGGACAGCAAAGCCUUUCUUAUGUCUUUUGACCUUGAUAUGCAUUGAAUUAACCUGAUAUGUUUAUAAAUGAAAUAUAGACAAUUUUACUGGCUUUCAAAAAAAGUCUAGGAGCGCCUAAAUUGGAUGACUGAGACUCCAAUUAUGGAUUUUUUAAGUGAGUAGUUGAAUUCUGUCCAAGUCUGGACAAAAUUUACGUUUCGCAUUGUUUGUCCUUUCUAAGUGUCAAAUCUUGUGGUGAUGAUAAUACCAAGGGUAUAGUGGACUUUGUAAGCUUUCCAUAAAGUCCUAGUUUACUACUGUUGGAUGCAUAUUUUGUGAGUUUAUGAGCAAAACAAUUAACCGUUGUGCUGAUGUCUAGAAAUAUGCAAGCAUUAAAUUGAUCUUUUGAAGUUACUCUUGUUUGGAUAGGUUUGGUUUAGGCUAUUGGAGCACAGUAUGUAUUGCUUUCAUUAUAUAUAUUCAUUGAAGAACUUGCAUGUGUCAAUGUUGAUUUGGUGUCAGGAAAACUUUGUCCGGGUUAUAUAGGACUGUCUAUUAUCUUAGCCCGAGUUGGCAGCUUGGCUUAGCACAUGCAAUUGUCGGAGUCUAUGAUCAGAGUACGCCAUGUAUUCCAUGUCUCUAUGUUGAGAAAGUAUUUGCGGAAUCCAUAUCAAUAAUCGAGCUAGAGUCAAUUCCCAUGUAGCAAGACCUGACUCUAGAGUGUCGUCUGCUGCGUAUCCUAGAAUCCUUGAAGCUCGAGGAGCUGAUGCGGCAGAAGUACCCCGAACUUUUCGUUAUGGGGUGAGUUUUUGUUGUCGCUGAUCUUUCCUUGUCGUUCCGAUAGAAGCGUCGGAAUUCGAGGUCGAAUUCUUUUUAAGGGGGGUAGAGUGUGAUACCCGGUUUGCAAAGAAGAGAAGUUGAAGGUUAUUCUUUUUGUUUGUUUUUUCUCUUAUUCGGGUGUCGCGCUUUGGGGAUUUAGAAUUUGUGGAAAUCAUUCACCAGUAUAGCAGUAGAGUGGUUGGUCGGGAGCUGUCGUGCAAGCGAGUUGGGCCGCGAAUCGCAAUCCGGCCCACUAACCCUCCCCCUAACCCUAGCCGCCCCCCUUUUUCCCCCUUGGGUUGUUGCAGCCGCCCCUUCCCCUCCCCUUUCUCUUGGACGCCCCCCCUCUCCCAUCUUCUUCCUCCUCAAACCUUUGCAGCCCUCACCACCCAAAACCCUAGCCGCCCCCCCCCCCCCCCCAUUUCUCCCCCUCCUCCAAGGUGCAGCCCUCCCGUGUGGUUCUCCGUCGUGUGGCUGCGAUCUCAAUUGGAGUUUGGAGGGAGGAAGAAGGAAGGAGGAAGGGAAGAACCUAAGGUGAAUUUGUGAUUAACUUUUGUUGUUUUUGUGCUGCAAUCAAUUGGAUUAUGUGUUUAUCUUUGCGAAUCGGUAGAGGUGCUGUCCAGGAAUUUUGUGAGUGGGUGAACAGCAGUAGUUCUAGGGAUUUCUGGGAAUUUUCGUGGGGUAAUUAGUGGGAAUCAGUGGGAUAAUCAUGUAGAGCUUUGUCAUACCUUUCCAACGAGUACUUAUGCGCUCGAUUCGGAGUUAUAAUUUAGGAGAUAUCGUUGUUUGAAUCCGGGUAUAUUGCUGUCCAAAAAAACAGAUUUUUCAGGUGGGUGAACAGCAGUAGUAUUAGCAGUUUCUGGGAAUUUUUCGUGGGUAAUUAGUAUUAACCAGUAUUAUAAUCAUGUAGGGCUUUGUCUUAUCUUUCCAAUGAGUACUUAUGUGCUUGAUUUGGAAUUAUAUUUUAAAAGAUAUCGCUGUUUGAAUCCAGGUAUGUUGCUGUAAAAAAAACAGAUUUUUCAGGUGGGUGAACAGCAGUAGUAUUAGCAAUUUCUGGGCAUUUUUCGUGGUUAAUUAGUGCUAACCAGUAAGAUAAUCAUGUAUGGCUUUGUCUUAUCUUUCCAAUGAGUACUUAUGCGCUUGAAUUGGAAUUAUAUUUUAAAAGUUAUCGCUGUUUGAAUCCGGGUAUGUCGCUGUCCAAAAGAGAAAAAAACAGAUUACAGGGUUCAUCUUGUGAACUGUUUUGGGCUAAUUAGAUGUUGGAGUUUAAUUAUAAAUUGUAUACAAAACUUGUGGGGAAUUUUAUGUAGAUGCCUCUGGAGUUUUUGUUUGUUACCAAUGCUGUCAUAAUUUUGAAGUUAUGAAAUUAUUAAGCAGCGCCGCUGCAGUUUGGUGGGUGUGGGGAGAGAUGUAACCCGCGGCGGGGUUUGAGUUUGUGCGUAGGUGCGGCGUCGUUUAUGAGCCUGGUUAUGUGAAAUUGGUGCACUAAGUUGUGUGUCAAAAACAGGUGGUGGACUUCCGGAUCGUACUUAGGGAUUUGCCCAAACUUCCGGUAAAGGCAAGUAAAUACAGUGGUGGUUGCUACCGUUUGGUUUGCAUCCUAUUCCCUGUCAUUGAGUAUGCAUAAGUUUUAAAUAUGUUAAUCAUUGAAUUCUAUGAUGAAGUUUAUUUGUUCGAAAGUAUUAAUUCUCAAUUGUCUAAUAUUGUGGAUGAUCAUGAUUUGGUAAUGAUAUAUGUGGUUGAUUCCUAUCAUGGAUGGAGUUGAAGUAUUUUUAUUUGAAUCACGUUAUAUGAAGUGUUGUAGGCAUGUCAUGCACAUUGCAUCAUCCAUCUUGCAUUCUGAAGUUAUGUCGUGAUCUUAUGGUCCGACUGUACCGGUACAUUUUUAGCAUCGUACGUUGCCCGAGGAGGGGUACGAUGCGGCUUCAUAUCCUUAGAGGUAUGAAGGCAGAAGUCAUCCUUGCAUUUGCAGACAUUUGCACUCAUGAGGUAUAUAUAUGAAGAGUGACAUUACUAUGUUACUAUUGUGGUUUCUACCUGCGAGGUGUGGUAGCUAGGAGUGUUGUACGUUGUAUACGUGCUGCACCUUUGUAAUAAGAAGGUUGUGAAAUCAAGUGGUGGUAAAACAAUAUUCUUAUGUGGUUAAACAGUUUGAUAUUAUUUUACUUGCUGAGAUGUGUCAUCUCACUCUUGCAUUACUCAAUGCAGGUACUUGAUAUAUGUUGGGAAUGAGGGGAGUAGCAGCACGUCCACUUUCACUCUCAUAAUAGCGCUGCCCAGGCGUAGCCAUGAUUUAAUUAGAAACUUGUUGUCAAAAGAAGUUAUUUUUUUUUGCUAGUCGUGCGCACUGGUUAAUUCAGUUCAUGUCGUAUGUUUAACUUCCCUUUGCUAGCCGAUUAAUAAUACUUGGUAUGUUUUUGUCAUGAUAUAUGUUUAUACAUUGUUGUCCCCCCCCCUCAUUUAUGCAAUUUUGCAAAGGAGAUGCUGCCAAAAUUUUAUAUAGAUGUCAGAAGUGUAGUUCAG